AUUUAGAUAGAUUAAAUAAAUCAUUUCCCUGAAGAGGAAAAAAUAAGGAAACUUUCUAAAUA
rnacentral:tRNA from 2 species